UGCCAGCAGCCGCGGUAACACGGGGGGCGCAAGCGUUAUUCGGAAUUAUUGGGCGUAAAGGGCGCGUAGGCGGUCUUGUCCGUCAGGUGUGAAAGCUCGGGGCUCAACCCCGGAAGUGCACUUGAAACAGCAAGACUUGAAUACGGUAGAGGAGAGAGGAAUUCCUGGUGUAGAGGUGAAAUUCGUAGAUAUCAGGAGGAACACCGAUGGCGAAGGCAUCUCUCUGGGCUAAAACUGACGCUGAGGCGCGAAAGCUAGGGGAGCAAACAGGAUUAGAUA
rnacentral:rRNA from 1 species